CAUAAAAAAAUCUAUAAAUUCAUCAACAACAACAUUAUCACCACCACCAUCAUCAUCAUCACUUCAUCACUACACCUCCACCACCAUAAACAACACCACCUAAUCUAAUAACCAAGAUUCAUCACCCCAUAAACAACAAAAAUCACCAAUUUUCUUAACACUGUCAAAACUCCAGAUCUGCAAUUAGGUAACAAUAAACACUGUCAUCACUGUUAAAGUGACUAAUUACAACCCAGAUAGUUUUUUUUUGUUUUGAAAAGCCAAUAUUAUUAAGGCAAUCAAUCCCUUGAGAAAAGAGAAAAGUUGCCAAGAGAGAAACAAAAAGAACCCCAAUGCAUAGAGCAUACAGAGAACUGAUACAGCGGUAAAAGGCUCCCACACCACUAACGUAACACGCCUACAGGGGAGCCACAGAGGUACAUCAGUAAUCACAAACAACCAAAAAAACAAAAUUGAAACGGAGACAAAAACCCUGCCUACGCUAGAAAAACACAGCCAACACUAUAAACCCAUACUCCCUCCUUCAUUCGGAUCUUCAAUUUCGAACAACAACAUAAACCCAUAAAUUAAUUCACCUUCUUAUUUCCUUAAAAAAAAACAACAACAACAACAACCGAUUUCUAGAUCACGUCGCGAACUCCGUUGCGUUUUGUUUUGUUGAUUUGUGUUUGAUUGAUUCUUUGUUUUAAGACUUCAUAUGAUCUAGAAUUUUUUAGGAGAAGUUGGGUUUGUUGUUAUUUAUUUGGAUUUUGCAUAUUAUGGAUAAACUUUUGGAUUUGAUGCAAAUUGUUUUUGGGUUUUUCUAGGAUUUUUUUUUAGUUUUGGAUGAAUGUAUGAAGAUGAAGAAGAAAAAGAGGAAGGAAGAUGAAGAAAGGAAGAAAAAAUUCAGGCGGCGACAGUAUACCAGUACUUACAAUACACCUUCAAAAUCCAAUGGUUUAUGUUUUAAAAAAUAGAUUAAACGGUUAAGAUUAAAAAAUUAUUGAGGUUUACAGUAGAC
rnacentral:lncRNA from 1 species